AUCAUCGGCAAACAUCGAAAGCUGCUGUCGGGCCUCGGCCCCUUAAUUCACCAAAACCUCAAGAACCCGAACCCUGCACCCCAACAAUGACCGUGCUGAGUAGAAUCUUCUUCAGCUCUCUUCUCAACUCCACCACCUCCCUCAGCCGCCGCUCUCGCUGCCGCUUCACCGGCUCGGCCCUUCUCCGUUCUUCCUCAGCUCCAUUGUUCUCGACGCGACAUCAUAACACAAGCCCCGGUUUUUCCCCUGCUCCAUUUAGCUCUGUCAGUGUUCCCUCGAGUUCCUCCUGCUUCUCUUCCUCUUACGCCGCCGCAUGUCGGCCGCUGAGUACAGAGGCCAGCUCCUCCAACGAUGCGGAUGACAUUCAAGAGUACCCUUUUUCAGAUGAAGUGGAUGACAAGGAACAAACUGCUGAAGAGUGGGAGGAAGAGGAGGAGGAGGCUGAACCUGAGCUUGGCGAUGGAGGGGAUGGAGGAGGAAUCGUCUUGAAUAAUGUCCCAUGGGGUGAGCAAGCUCUUGAGAUUGCUCGGGAAGUGUUUUCUCAGUUUGGUGAUGAUUUGGAGCUCUUUGCUUUCAAGACUACUUCUCAUGGGUACAUUUAUUCACGGAUUGACAAGCUCUCAAACAAGUAUGGCUGUCCCAGCAUGGAGGAGAUUGAGGGCUAUAGUCAGGAGUACAAAAAGAGAUUAGAUGAAGCCGGAGCCCUCGGAAAAAUUCCCAAGAAUUUAGCACUGGAGGUGUCAUCCCCUGGUGCUGAGAGAUUGUUAAAAGUACCAGACGACUUGUCCCGGUUCGAGGACUUGCCUAUGAGGGUGAACUACAUUGAAGAUGGAGCAACUGCCAGCCAAGAAAAAACAGGAGUUUUCUUUCUUGAUUCUGUUGAAACAGACUCAGGAACCUGUAUAUGGAAGUUAGCGGAUGUUAAGGAGAACAGGGACCCACAGAGCAAAGGUCGAGGUUUAAGCCGUAAGCAAAAGGACUGGAGACUAAAACUCCCGUAUGGUAAUUGCAGAAUGGUCACGCUUUACCUCAACUAUUGACAAUUCUUGAGCUAAUAUGCCUUGUAGAACAGUGUAAUACUCGGUUAGAUAGAGAGAGAGGUCAAGAUAGCCGGAAGAAAAAAAUGUCUCCAGUUGAUCUUUUCUUCAAAGCCCGAGGUUUCGAGAAAAAUGGAGAAUGAUCAGAGCCUUUCAGAAGGAAAACAUUUUCUGUGGAUUUUAUCUUGGUCGUGUACUUUUCUUGAAAGGAGAAGGAACCGUGCAAUCUACCCGAGUCUCAACAUAGAACCGGCAAUCAGGUCCAAAAGGAAUGUGCCUCAUCAACAGGAUGCGAAAGCAAAAUCCCAGAAAAAGAAAAGAACCAUUACAUAUUAUUACGGUUUUCACAAUCCCUCACGUACUAUGAGCUUCUUCUCUUCUUGUUUCAAAGCUUGUCGAGGAUGUCAACUAGCGGCUUAAUGUAUUGUGCCAUUCUCUGAAUGGAGUGUGUGCCUGAGGUAUGGAAUCCUGAACCUGUCAAGU